GACGAACGCUGGCGGCGUGCUUAACACAUGCAAGUCGAACGGAAAGGCCCCUUUGGGGGUACUCGAGUGGCGAACGGGUGAGUAACACGUGAGUAACCUGCCCUUGACUUCGGGAUAACUUCAGGAAACUGGGGCUAAUACCGGAUAGGAAUCCUUGCUGCAUGGUGGGUGUUGGAAAGCUUCGGCGGUUUUGGAUGGACUCGCGGCGUAUCGGCUUGUUGGUGGGGUAGUGGCUUACCAAGGCUUUGACGGGUAGCCGGCCUGAGAGGGCGAACGGCCACAUUGGGACUAAGAUAAGGCGCAGAAUCCUACAGGAGGCAUCAGUGAGGAAUGUUGCACAAUGGGCGGAAGCCUGAUGCAACAACGCCGGGUGCGGGAUGACGGACCUCGGGUUGUAAACCGCUAUCAGCAGGGGCGAAGCUUGUGGUGACGGUACCUGCAGAAGAAGCACCGGCUAACUACGUG
rnacentral:rRNA from 1 species